AGGGUUUGAUUCUGGCUCAGGACGAACGCUGGCGGUGCGCCUUAUGCAUGCAAGUCGAGCGAAGCUUUUCAGUAGUUUACUACAGAAAAUGACUGAGCGGCGAACGGGUGAGUAACGCGUGAGCAAUCUACCUUAGUUACAGGGAUAGCCCGAGGAAACUCGGAUUAAUACCUGAUAUUCUUUAUUUCUCGCAUGAGAAUAAAAGGAAAGGUCAGCCGAACUAAGAUGAGCUCGCGUUCUAUCAGCUAGUUGGUGAGGUAAAAGCUUACCAAGGCUACGACGGAUAGCUGGUCUGAGAGGACGAUCAGCCACACUGGGACUGAGACACGGCCCAGACUCCUACGGGAGGCUGCAGCAGGGAAUAUUGUGCAAUGAACGAAAGUUUGACACAGCGACACCGCGUGUGGGAUGACGGAUCUAGGUUUGUAAACCACUUUCAGGAGGGAAGAAAAUGACGGUACCUCCACAAGAAGCCCCGGCCAACUACGUGCCAGCAGCCGCGGUAAUAC
rnacentral:rRNA from 1 species